rnacentral:rRNA from 1 species
CCUACGGGAGGCAGCAGUAGGGAAUGUUGCGCAAUGGGGGAAACCCUGACGCAGCAACACCGCGUGAAUGGUAAGCACUUCGGGGUGUAAAGAUCUGUCAAUAGGGACGAAGAGUGACUGUACCUAUAAAGGAAGCACCGGCGAACUCCGUGCCAGCAGCCGCGGUAAUACGGGGGGUGCAAGCGUUGUCCGGAAUCAUUGGGCGUAACGCGUUCGUAGGGGGGAUGUCCAGUCUGAUGUUAAAGCCCGGGGCUCCACUCCGGUUCGGCCUUGGAUACUGGCAAACUAGAAUGUGGUAGAGGUAACGGGAAUUCCUGGUGUAGCGGUGACAUGCGUAGAUAUCAGGAGGA